GGGGCUGUAGCUCAGUUGGUUAGAGCACCACGUUUGCAACGUGGGGGUCAGGAGUUCGAAUCUCCUCAGCUCCACCA
rnacentral:tRNA from 2 species